rnacentral:rRNA from 1 species
GUGGGGAAUAUUGGACAAUGGGCGCAAGCCUGAUCCAGCCAUGCCGCGUGUGUGAAGAAGGCCUUUUGGUUGUAAAGCACUUUAAGCGAGGAGGAGGCUACUUGGAUUAAUACUCUAGGAUAGUGGACGUUACUCGCAGAAUAAGCACCGGCUAACUCUGUGCCAGCAGCCGCGGUAAUACAGAGGGUGCGAGCGUUAAUCGGAUUUACUGGGCGUAAAGCGUGCGUAGGCGGCUUCUUAAGUCGGAUGUGAAAUCCCUGAGCUUAACUUAGGAAUUGCAUUCGAUACUGGGAAGCUAGAGUAUGGGAGAGGAUGGUAGAAUUCCAGGUGUAGCGGUGAAAUGCGUAGAGAUCUGGAGGAAUACCGAUGGCGAAGGCAGCCAUCUGGCCUAAUACUGACGCUGAGGUACGAAAGCAUGGGGAGCAAACAGGAUUAGAAACCCUUGUAGUCC